rnacentral:rRNA from 1 species
GAUGAACGCUGGCGGCGUGCCUAAUACAUGCAAGUCGAGCGAACGGACGAGAAGCUUGCUUCUCUGAUGUUAGCGGCGGACGGGUGAGUAACACGUGGAUAACCUACCUAUAAGACUGGGAUAACUUCGGGAAACCGGAGCUAAUACCGGAUAAUAUUUUGAACCGCAUGGUUCAAAAGUGAAAGACGGUCUUGCUGUCACUUAUAGAUGGAUCCGCGCUGCAUUAGCUAGUUGGUAAGGUAACGGCUUACCAAGGCAACGAUGCAUAGCCGACCUGAGAGGGUGAUCGGCCACACUGGAACUGAGACACGGUCCAGACUCCUACGGGAGGCAGCAGUGGGGAAUAUUCCGCAAUGGGCGAAAGCCUGACGGAGCAACGCCGCGUGAGUGAUGAAGGUCUUCGGAUCGUAAAACUCUGUUAUUAGGGAAGAACAUAUGUGUAAGAAACUGUGCACAUCUUGACGGUACCUAAUCAGAAAGCCACGGCUAACUACGUG